CUGAAAGCAUCUAAGCGGGAAGCGAGCCCUGAGAUGAGUCAUCCCUGACCCCUUGAGGGUCCUAAAGGGCCGUUGGAGACCACAACGUUGAUAGGCGGGGUGUGUAAGUGCAGCGAUGCAUUGAGCUAACCCGUACUAAUUACCCGUGAGGCUUAACCA
rnacentral:rRNA from 1 species